rnacentral:tRNA from 1 species
GAGCCGCUAGCUCAGGUGGUAGAGCAUCGGCCUUUUAAGCCGAGGGCCCUGGGUUCGAGUCCCAGGCGGCUCA